ensembl:snRNA U6 U6 spliceosomal RNA
UUGGGCUCCCUUCGGCCUCACAUAGACUAGAAUUGGAACAAUCCAGAGCAGAUUAGCAUGGGCCCUGCGCAAGGAUGCCACGCAAAUGCGUAAGGCGCUGCGUGCUUUG